CAGCAGCCGCGGUAAUACCGGCGGCCCGAGUGGCGGCCACUAUUAUUGGGCUUAAAGCGUCCGUAGCCGGGUUGGUUAGUCUCCCGGGAAAUCUGGCCGCUUAACGGUCAGAAUGCCGGAGGAUACUCCCAGCCUAAGGAGCGGGAGAGGCCGAGGGUAUUCCCGGAGUAGGGGUGAAAUCCUAUAAUCCCGGGAGGACCACCUGUGGCGAAGGCGCUCGGCUGGAACGCGUCCGACGGUGAGGGACGAAGGCCAGGGGAGCAAACCGGAUUAGAUACCCGGGUAGUCCUGGCUGUAAACGAUGCGGACUUUGUGUCGGACAAGCUAUGAGCUUGUCCGGUGCCGGAGGAAAACCGUUAAGUCCGCCGCCUGGGGAGUACGGCCGCAAGGCUGAAACUUAAAGGAAUUGGCGGG
rnacentral:rRNA from 1 species